ensembl:lncRNA LINC03048 long intergenic non-protein coding RNA 3048
GUCAGAGGCACUGUCUUCCCCUAGCUAUGCGCCUCGUGCCUGGGAGCCUUAGGGCCACACGGAAGGGUAGAAAUCAGUUUCAGGUCAGGAGGUCUGGAACAGCUUUGUUAAACCCAGUUUUUUUCCUAUGAAAAUGGCUGCAGACACUGGGGGAGGGAGAGGGUGGCCCUGAUCCCGAUGACUCUGAAACAUGCUUGGCCUUCCCCAGAGAUUCCUGCUCCCAGCCCAGGCCCAGACGGCAACAGAAGCUCAUGAAAGGACUUCUCCGAGCCCAGGACACACGAGGAAAGCGAGGCUCAGUCACCAGGAAGCCCUCACUCUCCGUCAAGGCCACCAAACGGGAAGAAGGGGAGCCAGGAUUUGAUCCCAGGCUUCCCUCCCAGCCUGCACGCUGCUGCACUACCCAACCCUGAGGACCCCAAGAACCUCUGAGAAUGUGGGAUUUUGGUUCUGAGCCUCCACGGGGCCCGUUGGUGGCCUCUGGUUCAGGACAACCAGAAUUGGCCCAGACAGCCAAGCAGCCAAGGGGCAGGCUUUGUAGAGUGUGGGGGUCUGUCCUCCCUCAUGGCCAGAAGCAGAUCCCACCCCUCAAAUGCAGGUGGGGUGGGGCAGGGGCUCCGGCUCCGUCAUCUGGGCUCCAGUGAGGCUGCCCGCUCCUGCUCACCUGCACAGGAGGCUGAGGGUGGGGCCCUGGGGGAGGGGCUGCCCCAGGCUGUAGUGCCUGGGAGAGCUGGGGGUGGGGAGGGGACAGGCAGGGGGCAGGCAGAUGGCCUUCCUGCUUGGCCCUCGCUGCCAGGUCUUGCUGCCUCCUCCUGUUGGGUGAUUUAGAUCAUUAUAGACCUGAGGUCCCACCAGGUGCAUUGGCUCAUGCCUGUAAUCCCAGCACUUUGGGAGGCUAAGGCGGGUGUAUGACCUGAGGUCAGGAGUUCGAGGCCAGCCUGGCCAACGUGGUGAAACCCCAUCUCUACUAAAAAUACAAAAAUUAGCUGGAUGUGGUGCCGCACACCUGUAAUCCCAGCUACUCAGGAGGCUGAGGCAGGAGAAUCGCUUGAACCUGGGAGGCGGAGGUUGCAGUGAGCUGAGAUCACGCCACACCCCACAGCCUGCAGCCUGGGCGACAGAGCGAGUCUGUCUCAAAAAAAAUAAAAAUAAAUAAAUAAAUAAAACUGAGGUGCAAAGUUUAAA